AUUGAACGCUGGCGGCGUGCUUAACACAUGCAAGUCGAGCGGUAACAGGUGUAGCAAUACAUGCUGACGAGCGGCGAACGGGUGAGUAAUGCUUCGGAAUCUUCCUAGUAGUGGGGAAUAACCUGGGGAAACUCAGGCUAAUACCGCACACGAACUACGGUUGAAAGCAGGGGAUCGCAAGACCUUGCGCUAUUAGAUGAGCCGAAGUCGGAUUAGCUAGUUGGUGAGGUAAAGGCUCACCAAGGCGACGAUCCGUAGCUGGUCUGAGAGGACGACCAGCCACACUGGAACUGAGACACGGUCCAGACUCCUACGGGAGGCAGCAGUGGGGAAUAUUGGACAAUGGGGGCAACCCUGAUCCAGCGACGCCGCGUGUGUGAAGAAGGCCUGCGGGUUGUAAAGCACUUUUAGUGGGGACAAAAAGCCGAGGGCUAAUACUCUUCGGUCUUGAUUUAACCCAAAGAAAAAGCACCGGCCAACUCUGUGCCAGCCGCCGCCGUAAUAC
rnacentral:rRNA from 1 species